UACGGAGGGUGCGAGCGUUGUCCGGAAUCACUGGGCGUAAAGGGCGCGUAGGCGGCCUGAUAAGUAGGGGGUGAAAUCCUGCGGCUUAACCGCAGGGCUGCCUUCUAGACUGUCAGGCUAGAGCACAGUAGAGGCAGGUGGAAUUCCCGGUGUAGCGGUGGAAUGCGUAGAGAUCGGGAAGAACAUCGGUGGCGAAGGCGGCCUGCUGGGCUGUUGCUGACGCUGAGGCGCGACAGCGUGGGGAGCAAACAGG
rnacentral:rRNA from 1 species